UACAGAGGUCUCAAGCGUUGUUCGGAUUCAUUGGGCGUAAAGGGUGUGUAGGUGGCGCGCUAAGUCGGGUGUGAAAUUUCGGAGCUUAACUCCGAAACUGCAUUCGAUACUGGCGUGCUUGAGGACUGGAGAGGAGACUGGAAUUCAUGGUGUAGCAGUGAAAUGCGUAGAGAUCAUGAGGAAGACCAGUGGCGAAGGCGAGUCCCUGGACAACUCCUGACACUGAGGCACGAAAGCUAGGGGAGCAAACAGG
rnacentral:rRNA from 1 species